rnacentral:lncRNA from 1 species
CCAUGAUGAAAGAGAGGUUCUUACAUAUCACUACUGAUUAUAAUUAGAUCUAUAAACCAUUGAUUUGAAAUCCAUCAAUGAAUGUAAGUUUUCCUUGGGAGCACAUUAUUGCAGUAAACAAAGGUCUGGUGUGAAUUAACUUAUACCAAUCCUGACUGGAAUUGAUUUAUACUAACCCUGACAGGGAAUCCAGCAACUGUUGCAUUUAGAUCUGAAAAAGUUUAAAUCUAAAAUGGCAUUAUCAUGUAUAGAUUCUGAAACAGGACUGAUAUCUUUGUCAAUAAUUGGAUUGCGCAUUCUCACUACAUGAUUCUUGAAAUUUAUGAAGGGAUGC